rnacentral:rRNA from 1 species
UACGUAGGGUGCGAGCGUUGUCCGGAAUUAUUGGGCGUAAAGGGCUCGUAGGCGGUUUGUCGCGUCGGGAGUGAAAACACACAGCUUAACUGUGUGCUUGCUUCCGAUACGGGCAGACUAGAGGUAUGCAGGGGAGAACGGAAUUCCUGGUGUAGCGGUGAAAUGCGCAGAUAUCAGGAAGAACACCAAUGGCGAAAGCAGCUUUCUGGGACGGUACUGACGCUGAGACGCGAAAGCGUGGGGAGCGAACAGG